UUUGGGAGAUGAUGAUCUAAGUGACUUGGAGACAAUGAGACUGGUAAUCAACCUUGCAAACCUCCAUGUAAUGAGAUCAAUUUAAAUACAAAUGAGUAGACAGUCUGGGCAGGAAUUCCAUGAUAAUGGAGUAUGUGUCUACUUUCAACAAUGAGAGUAAAAGAAAAUAUUUGGAGCCCCAGUUGGGCAGGUUGGGAAUUGAGAUCCCACAAGAAACCAGGGCAAUAAGUACCAGGAGAAAAGGGGUGGAUGAAGACUUCUUGUUUUAGAAAGGAGAAGCAAACUUCUGGGCUGAGAAAUUCAUGUUUGUUAGGCUGCUAUCUAAACAUCUUGGAGAACUAAUUACACCUGCCCCCUCAAGUUUUCCACCUAAGGAGAAGCUGAAUGAGCUCUCCAGAGUAGCCACUGAGCGAUCUGAGACUAUACAGUGAUUUCUUCAUGAUCUCCCAUCCACUGCAGAAUUCAUGAAAACCACCGAAUACACCAGACUGCUCAUUGAGAAAGAAAGGACCUCUCAGUGCAUUCAACUCUUAGCCUUACUGCAGAAACAGAAGCACCAAGAAUUUGUCUGAAACAACAGUUCCUAUUUCUUGAUUGUUUUUAAAUGCCCAGUUGUUGUUAAUGUUUUUUUUUAUUAUUUGUUAAGAAAUUAUAAAUAUCAGCAUGCCUUGUGGAAAAAGAAGCUUGGGGAAGGAUGCAAGCCAAAUAUACUGUUUAUCUCUAA